AGUUUCCAUUUGGUCCUUUACAGAGCAAGUUUGCCAACCUGUAUCUUAAUUCAUCUUUGUGGCCAGAGAAGUGGAUUUACUGAUUUGUUUCAGCUGAUCAAUGUCUAUAACAAGCAAUGUUGAUGGGCUGAAAACCACACAGACUACCAGAGGGGUUGCUUUUCCGAAGAAUCAUGUAAGGAUAAAAGAGAAAGAAAGAGAGAAAGACCUUGGAACCCAACUAGUAUCUACCAAAUGUAUGUAACUUUCUCAUAUUAAUUCUGUCUUUAUAUGUGAAGAUGACCAAUCCCCUGCCUGUGAUUACAUCACAUCAAGCAUGUUCUUCCCAAAUUGGGGGUUCAAUUCAGACUCUCCUGUUAUAUGCCAGUUGUCUUAGGGAUUUUCUCACUUUAUUCAACACUAUACUCAAUUUUUACAUUAAUAAUGCAGUAAUAAUAUACCCCUUUGCCAUUCUGUAUUUUCCUGUAUAAUAAUAAUUAUUAUUGUUAUUAUUAUUAUUUUUUGAGACAGUUUUUGUUCUUGUCGCCCAGGCUGGAGUGCAAUGGCAUGAUCGCAGCUCACUGCCACCUCUGCCUCCUGGGUUCAAGUGAUUCUUGUGCCUCAGCCUCCUGAGUAGCUGGGAUUACAGGCACGCACCACCACGCCCAGCUAAUUUUUGUAUUUUUAGUAGAGAUGGGGUUUCACCAUGUUGGCCAGGCUGGUCUCGAACUCCUGAUCUCAGGUGAUCUGCCCGCCUUGGCCUCCCAAAGUGCUGGGAUUACAGGCGUGAGCCACUGUGCCUGGUCUUUCCUGAAUUAUUUUACCGGUUUUGUAAAAAGAUUUUGAUCGGGAUAUACCCUGUUGCCCCACAAAUGAUGGCUAGUUCCCAAAUCUGAGACUAAGUUUUCAUUAUAGACUUUAUAUUCUAAACUAAGUCACUAACAACUGGGGCCAGACAAUCCUUCCAGGGCAUUGUAGACAUAGGAAAAGGAAAGAAAGUGGCCAGCCUAGUGGGUUCCACCUUUGUGAAGGAGAGGUCUUUACUUCUAACUGCUCUUGAAGCCCAGUGAAGGGGUCUCCAGAGGGUAACUUGUACAAACUGGAAGUACCUGCAAACAAGGCAACUCAUUUUCCAGUUGGAUGUCAGCUUACAUGGUGAACCUCAUGAUUUGCCUGAGCCAAAAUGAGCAGGGGAGAAGAAAACAGAAGAUAGGAACCAAAGCAGGGAAAAGGAUUGCUGGAGGCUGCUCUCCCACCACAUGGAAUGAGCUUUCCAUUGGCCGAGUGAUCCUGUGGAAGGGAGCUGGGCUCGAGCCAUCCUCCCAGUGACACUCCGCAAAGGUUGGGGGAAUCACAUGUCCCAUUUUGUCUGGGAAAUGACCCAGUUUAUGCCAGUUGUGCCAGCAUAGUUAUUAAUAGUAACCCCUUUGAGUCUUAAAGUGCUCAUCCUACCAAUAGGAGAUCCACUGCUUAGCUUACAAGGAUCUUAACAGCAGUAGCUGAUGGGGUGGUCUCAGGGCCGCUGUCUACAAAGGCCCCUGGAUGUGUGGGCAAGAGGGUGCUGAAAGCCAGUCUGCCCAUCACCUGUAAGGUCUUGCACUCACACAGGGCUAGGUGUGCUCCAUGGUGCUUUUUUGUAACAUGCUCAAUGGUGUCUUCCAGGCUAGCAAAGGCCCAGGGUAUGCUGCCAGUGGUGUGAGCAGAAGAGAGAGGUGAAAGAUGUUGGGCAAGGGUGGGAU
rnacentral:lncRNA from 1 species